AGGGAGGGGAGAGAAGCGGAGCCCUUCGGAUUUUAAAGUAAAGGUCUAAUUAUCCUCCCCCUGCCACAGUAUCGCGGGGAGAAAAGGCAAACUGAAACCCGCAGUCACUUCAAACGGGCUGAUUGUUUUGCUUCGGCAUUAACUCCUCCAGAUUUGUUUAAGAUCCCGUUAGAAAAUCUCAUUUGCAUGUUUUUAUAACAGCUACAGGGAAACUUGUUGCAAACAAACAAUAAAAAAAUCCACAACUAUCACAAUCAACCCCCCGGCCGGCCGUUUCCUGCUGUUCUAGCGGUUCUUUGGGGGGAGCGCAGGGCCAGACCGAGAGAAGAGCAGGAGAGCAGGCAGGUCGAGGCAGCCUUUGGCUCCGCCGCCAGCCCAUUAAAGGAUGCCGUAAAACAACCAGCACGAAAAUCGCGGGUGGCGCUCCCACGCCUCUGCUGCGGACUGAGGACUGCUGCGGGGAUCCAGAAAGCACCACGUCCAUCCGAAGCGCUGCUUGGCUUCCGCAGUCCCGGGGUCGGCAGCAGUAGAAACUUCACCCGAGAGGCUCGAUUGAAGGGAAAGAAAGGCUCCGCGCCGGAGUGGAUGAUUUCUGGGCUCCAAAGGGCCACAGUUAGCCCAGAACUUCCAGCCCCGAUCUGGGAAAAGAACAUUUGAUGCCAUCAAAGGGCUGCAGAUUGAAACCAGAUGUGCUCGCCUCGCUCUUUCCAUGCAUUCAAUUAAGGAGCCAGGACGAGGAGGCUUUUUCACCGUUAGUCCGUCCACCCCCUCGCCCGCCCGCGUGCAGAUUUCAGCCGCUUCGCCGCUCCCCGCGCGGGCCAGCCCCGGGCAGCUUCUGCCCUCCCGUCCUCUCCUCCUGUCGCGACGCUCAUCAUCAGUGUUUCUUUCCUCUCUGGCCAGAAUGCCCUUCGCGACAAGGGUCUGGCCCCUGGCACCCGUUUGCCCUGAAGACCAGGGAGCCCCGUCAGUGGGGGAGGAAGUGGCCUUGUCCCUGCAGUCAGCACGGUUGGCGACGACGCGGGACCGUGACGGGGUGGGCACAGAUUAUGAAUUAUCAUUUUUAAAAGUCAGGACGACACUACAGGGAAACUCAGGACAAGACAGAGAGCAGCGCAUUUACUCCAGAAAGGACAGAAGGGCUGAAGGAGGCCUUCACAGCACGCUGGGAGCCAGCACUGCCACCAGUGUACUGGCUUUCGACUGGCAUCUGAAGGUAGCUUUCCAACCAUUCGUUCUGCCUACUCCCUUUUUAAAAAUCUCCCAUUUGGGGAUUCCUCCCCAAGAAAGUAGAAGCAAAGCUGGGACCAACAAGGAAAGUUGCCAAGAGAUGAGACCAAGGCUGGGAGGCCCAGCGCAUGAAGUUGGGUGCUGUUUUCAUUUCACUGGGCCUAUUUGCUCCUUAAAUCCCUGGAGACUGCAUGAACCAUUGAAACAGCUUUAGCUAAAGAUACAGUGACCUGCACACUGACUCGCAAUAAAUGCUCCUCAGACCUUAUUCUGCUAAAUGUCUCUGUAUAACUGAUAAUACCUGUAAUGAUCACUCUCUUUGAAAUUUCUUCUCCUAUUAACUGACCAGUUCCUUUCUGUCUUCAUUGAGGAUUUCUUUCUCUCAACUGAUGAUAUUCUCCAGGGUUCUGUCUACCAUCCUCAUUGUCCUUCAGAAUAAAUAGGUUGUUUUUAGAAGAGCUCAUAUAUAUACAUGGGUAAACGACUGCUUGUUUAUCAAUGAGUCUAAAACCUAAAUCUUAAGCUUGGUCA
rnacentral:lncRNA from 1 species